rnacentral:rRNA from 1 species
UUGGGUCGUGUUAUAAAUGCUCUGGCUAAACCUAUUGAUGGGAGAGGCGAAAUUGUAGCUUCCGAAUCUCGCUUAAUUGAAUCUCCUGCUCCAAGUAGAAUUUCCAGGCGUUCCGUAUACGAACUUCUUCAAACAGGGCUUAUUGCUAUCGAUUUGAUGAUCCCUAUAGGGUGCGGUCAGCGAGAAAUCAUUAUUGGGGACAGACAGACUGGCAAAACAGUAGUGCCACAGAUACAAUUCUCAAGAAAAAAGGGCAAGAUGUAA